CACCUUUGAAUCCCUCUUCUCUCUCAACUCUCUCUGAAACUCUUACAAACCCUAGCCGUCGCCAUCAAACUACAACCUAAUCCACCCUAAACCCUGCUUAAUCCAUGGCCUCCUAUGGCCAUUGGAGAUGUGUAGUGGCCUUCUAUGUUUCCUGGGUAUUUGUUCCUGUGGUUUUAUGGCCAGACCUUGAGGGAAUCUGGUCCAGUCCUUGCUCGAUUUCAGUUUAUGGUCUUUCUCGGGUCAUCCCUGACCUUUCUCCGGCCAGCCAUGGCCGUUCGAAUCAGAUCCUUGAUUAUCCUGGUUAGAUCGGUAACUUUUAAGGACUUUCUCAACUUUUUGGAGUUUUUGACACCCUAAUCUUUAAGAUCUUUUAACUUUCUUUCAGAUCUGCUUCACAUCUGUACUUACUAUGACCUUUUUAAGUGUUUGUCGAAGGUUCUUUAACUUUGCUUUCAAAACGACUCUUCAUUUUUUUAUUAGGGUUUUCCUUUAAGUUAUUUCAAAAAUCCCUUCUCUGAUUUUAACGUGAUUAUGAUUUUGCUCAUGUUGUUCUUCUAUCUAAGUUAGCAUGUUGAAAACCCUAAUUUCUUUUGGGUCUCAUUCGAGUUCUGAAGUUGUUUGUUUGAUUUGUACUUGUUUGGUUAAGUUCUUGUUUGACUUAUUUGUUUAUCAUCUUUUAAACUCGAUUACUAUUGAAUACCCAGGUCUUCUUGGUCUAAAAUUGUUUGUUUGAGUAUGUACUUGAUUCGAUUAAAGUUCUUUGUUUCUGACUCUCUCUCUUUUAUGUGACUUAUCGAUUCCGAGUCUUACAAUCUUUUAAGCUCGACUUUUCUUGGAACCCAAAAUUUUCAAAAGAUUUCCUCACGUGUUACUGUGAGAUCUUUACUUGUUUGACUAUCUUCUUAACUUUGGCUAUAUGUGUGAACCCUGACUAUCUAUUAAAUCAUAUGCUUAUUUCUGCUACUAUUGCAUGUUGUUUCUUCUGCCAAUGUGCUUGGCCUUGCAUGACUGAUGUUUUUGUUCACUCUAUUUAUAUGUUGAAGUCCAGAAGCAUGUUUCUUCCUUGAUUGAUCUUGAUCUUGUGACUGAUUGCAAAACCUUUUCUUAUAUGAGCUGUGAUUUUACUCGCCUGUUUGAAAUUAAUUGAUUCCUUUCCCUUUUACUGUAAUAUUUACUUUGUUGAAUCCUUUCUAAAAAUAAGCAUAGUUUCGUAGUCAAACUUGAUUGUUCACUGCAUGCUUUUACUACCCUUUUUAUGGCAAUAAUCAAUCUAUUCCCAAACUGAUUUCUUUCCUUAUUUGAGCCUAUUACUACCCAUUAAACAUUUAUUCCUUAAUUAAAGGGGAAUCACUUAUGUAAUUGAUUUUGGCUGGUGGUUGUUUCUAUAUUUUUGUAAAAACUUUACUUAUUACCUUACUCCUCACAUGUUUUCAAAACUAUAAAUACCCACAUUCUCUUUUUUUAUUAAAGACACGAACGAACUACCUACGUUCAGAACACAUACUUCACAAACUCUCUCUAUUCUCUGUUGCUAUUUGUGUUUUGUCUAGCCGGCUGAAAGCCAAGGUUAAGCUGUGGAGAUUUCUUGCUUUUCUUUCUGCGUUUUGCUUAUUGCAUGUUUGUCCUAGUUAAUCUUCAAGCACCAAUAACAACAUGUUUCUUUAGCUGUUUCCUUCAUUCUUGCAUGUUCAUACUUAUGUUUAUGCAAUUAGGUUAUAUUACUAUGCAUGCUCUAAUCUGCUCCCCCCAUUCUAGAUUAAUGUUUUUCCUUAUGCAUGCACUCUAUAAGUUGCUUGUUAUAUGAUUUGCUGAAUUAUGAAUCCCAAACCCCUAUAUCCUCCUAUGUGGUUAUGUUCUCUAGUUGUUUUGUGGGCAUGUCAACAUCAUCUAUUGAUGUGUAUGUCCCAAACCUGACCCUCUUUUUGUGCAAUUACUGGUUUUGUGUAAUUUAAGUUUUACCAAUGUUGUUUUCAAAUCUCCCUUAUCCAUUACUAUUCUUAACCCAGUUUUAAAUAAUAUCUUUAUUUCUACAUUUCCACUAUAUUCCUAGAACCUAAGUUGUGCCCUUCUUUUGUGAGCCUUACCUUGGGACCCGUGAGCUCUCUCUGAACUUGAACACAUAAGGACUGGCCCCUUCUACACUGCACUUAUUCUCUAUCUAGCGAUGUAAACCUGGGUAUAAGCAUUGCUCUGGGCCCCUUGAGGCCCUUAGGGAACUUUGACACACCUAGGUGUGAGAAAGGCUUUGAAACAAGUGGCAUUUGAGGUGGUUUGUUCCAUAACUCAGAGAGGAAGUCAGAGUCAGGCUUUCUAUGGUUGUAACUUCUUAUUUUAUUCUUUUCUGAUGUAAUUCAGUAUUUGGUCUGUAAUAAUUUUUAAUGAAUAUUGGAG
rnacentral:lncRNA from 1 species